GACGAACCGUCCAAACGUUGUUCGGAAUCACUGGGCUUAAAGGGCGCGUAGGCGGGCCAUCGAGUCCGGGGUGAAAUCCCCCAGCUUAACUGGGGAAGUGCCUUGGAUACUGGUGGCCUCGAGGAGGGUAGGGGCAUUUGGAACGUCGGGUGGAGCGGUGAAAUGCGUUGAUAUCCGACGGAACUCCGGUGGCGAAGGCGAGGUGCUGGACCCUUUCUGACGCUGAGGCGCGAAAGCCAGGGGAGCAAACGGG
rnacentral:rRNA from 1 species